rnacentral:lncRNA from 1 species
UCCUCUUUUGAAAGAGUGAAGGGAUAGGCCAAAUUUCCCCAAAUCCAAGCCAUGUGAAUAGCAUUGGGACAGGCAACUUUGCCCUGUUGUGGAUCCAAGGUUACAAGCAUCAUUUUCUUUGUGAAAUGCCACUUCUCUUUGACGAAUUUGACGAUUGCUGGCUCUAACAAGGAUGGAUGGUGCAAUGUGUACCACGGCAUAAGUGCUUGCAACUCCUUAAAUUUUUGUUCCUGCGCGUCAUUCCAUCCCUUUGAUCGAUCCACAAUUGGAAGCCACACUAUUUCGUAUUGAAAUUCUGGCCUUGACCUUGACUCAAGGUAAAUUUGAGACAGUACUAAUAUCUCCUCAUGGCUAGCCUCAAGAUCUGACAGCAGCAGUAGAACAGUCUUUCUUCUUAGCACUUCAACACUAGCCUGAAAUUGAAUUAUACAAAAGUCAUGAAAAAGUAAGAAAAACGCGAAAAAUUGAUUAUAAUUUCAAGUUAUGAACGUACCCUUGUGUGAGUAGUUCCGACUUCAAGUGGAAGUAAAUCAUCCUUGAUAUAAAUCAUCGCCCUCAUUAUCUUCAUGUUGUCAAAUUGUGUUGCCUCAAAGAGGUGCACCAGCAUUUGGAAGUACUCGACGUGCAUCUUUUCCUCUGCACAGAACAUUGAUGUAAACAGUAAAUACAAGCCCAUCACAAAAUUCCUAUCACUUGCCUACAUUUUAGUACUUAAUAAAUCAUGAUUUUGUUACUUACGAAUAUGAGCAUAGCAACGGUUUAGUUCAACUCUGAGGUGUUCGCUUAUGUUUUUCAGCUUGUGUGUGGAGCUUGACAUUUCCCAUGUGUCUGCUGUGGUAGCUACUAUCAUGCUGCAGCAUCAAUUAAUCAAUUGUUAGUUACUUCGAUUUUGGACCUAAAUAUUAGACGAAGAAAAAAUUAGUUUUGUUUAAAACAGAGGAGGCUUACUCAUAGCUCAUUCCAAGAAGGGUAGUUAGUUGGGAAGCACAAGCAACAAUACUUUUAAUAGUCCAAUAAACAGCAGUAGGAAUGUGACUGAUCGCGACAGACAAAGGUGGUUGAUCUUCAGUAAUGUACUGAGAAGGAAGCUUCUUGAAUUCCAUUAUGAUUUUGGUUACUUCCAAAAUGGCCUUGAUGAGUUCAUUGAUGGCAUCGAAUCGAGACCUGAGGCUAGCACUAUGUUCCAUGAUGUCUGGUAGUUGUUUUAAGAUGGCCACAGAUUUGGCCAAGGGAUGAGUGGCAAACAUCUGAGCCACCAGCCAGAAUUCACCAUAAGUAACGGCAAAUGCUGCUAAAGAUAUGACUAGUUUCGCGUCCCAUUGGUAGCCAGAGAGCAUCCCUAAGACUGACAUUGUUGUUGAAUGCGCAUCAUGACCUCCACUUGAGCACUUGCAUGUUAACUGCAAUCACAAUUGUAGAUUCAAUCAAUGUUUAUGGAAUUUAAUAAAGAACUUUGAAACUUGUGAUGUGUAACCAGUAUAUAGUAUGAACUAGUACCUCGCAAGAGACUUUGUGUAUGAUAUAAGCCAAUCCUUCGAGUAUGCCAUCGAAAGCAAGUGAGGCCUUUUCUUCCAACUUCAAUGCUUCAAUAUUACCUUCAAGAUGAUGAGCUCCCGCUCCCUGGAAACAUAAAAGUUAGUUAUAUACCUAAACAGAGCCAACAAAACUUAAUAGUAUUGACUAGAAACUAAACGUAUACGAAAAAUGUUACAUUAAGCACGCCAUCCAUGGCAGCAGGAUAGGAAUGUUGAAACACGUCCUCAACAAUGUGGAGAAUGACAUUAACAUCAACUUCACGACCAUCAGGAUUGUGAGUAUCCAGGAUUUUCUUAGACAUAGCAUGAUCAUCAGACAAGGAGAAAACGGGGCGUUCUCGCUUAGUCAUUGCCUGUUGAGUUGGCUUCAUACCGCGAGUUGUUGCUGCUGCAGGCACCAAAGCAUGACUUGCCAUUUUUUGUUGCUAAUUUGGGAUUUUAAUUGAAGAAAAAAAAAGAUUGGUUUAAUUUACUAAGCUUUGUUUAUGAUGAUGUUUAGUGAAGCAUGCAGGCAAGGUAUAUAUAGUGGGAAAAAAUUGAAUAAAGAAAUGUGGGGACAAAUUGAAUCAAGUACCUUGCUUGUAAGAUGGUGUAAUAUCCUAAAAGCACCUAAUGGAUAAGUAAUCAUUAGCCUUGCUGCAUUGUGGACCCUUACAAAUCUCUUUACAGAGUUAAAGUAUAGAAUAAUUUUAUUUUUAAUUUUGAUUGGUACAACUCCUAGAUUUGAUUGUUAGAAUGAGAAAAAAAUGUAAUGUUUGUUAGUACUAAGUGAUGAGAGCUUAGAUUUUAGCAUAAUAGAGUUAGUAGCGUAACAAUAAUAUAUACCGUGCAAUCUUUUAAAUAGAUAGUAUUUUAAAUGGUCAUUCAUGACUCGAGUAUGCAUUAUUUUCUCAAAAAAGUAUUUAGUUUUAUUUUAUAAUUUUAAAUCACUCAAUUAUAAACGGUGUAAUUUAUAUGUACAUAAUAAGAAAAUUACUUAUUCAUUUACAUAGUGUAAUAUCUUAGCAAAGAAGAAACAAAACGUGUGACUCCACCAAUAAUAAAAUGGUUAAACUAGCACCUUUUUUUUAAAAAAUAUUAUUUAAAUUGAUUGAGUGAUUUUCUAGAUGAAAUAUAAGAAUAGUUGAAUGACUUUUAAGUUAUAUAAUAAAAUUGAAUGAUUUUCGGGUUAUAAAAUAAAGUUGAGUGUUUUUCUUGAAAAAUCAUCCUUAGUUGAUUGAUUUUUGAUUUGCAAAAACAAAACAUAAUUAAAUGACUUUGUAAUAUAACUAUGCAUUAUUUUGUAAUUGAUUUGGAUCACCAGAUAAUUUCUACUAUUGUGUACUAUUUAAAAUCACCAGGGAAAGAGUACCUAAUACUUUUUUUUAAUUGAAGCAAACAAAUAAAUAAUUUCCUUGAUCAUAAAUUUAUCUUGUCAUAUAGUAAUGAUUAGGUUAGCUAUUUGGAUGAAAAUGUGAUUCUUAUUAAUUUAAUUGGUUCUCUCCGAAUUCGUUAAUAUUAAUCGAGAUUAUUUAAUAGAUAUUUGAUCAUAAAUAUUCUUUUUAUCUUUUUUCUUCGAAUUGAAAUUCAAAAAUUAAGUAUUGCCAUACAUUAAAAAAUUAUUUCCACUUUAAAUUAUUCAUAAAUAUUCAAAACCAAAUUAUUCAUAAAAACUAUUAAUUUGUAUUCAUAAUCAAACAUAACUCAUUUUUUUGAAUAUCUUUUCUAUUAUUUUAAAAAUAAAAUCUAUGUCUUUAUAUGAUGAGAAGAAGAUAGGAAUAUAUGUGAAGAUGAGCUUUACUCCCUUUAUUUAAAAAAUUAUUAUAUAGUAUAUUUGUUCGUGUUGUCCCACUUACAAAGUGAUACGAGUAUUCUUAAUUAGACUACCAUUUGCCCCUUUAAGGCAUCACAGUAAAUAAAAAAUAAAAAGACAAAACACUUGGAAACUUUAAUUUGAGUCAUAAUUAGAUGACAUACUCUUAGGACUCAUUUGAUAGAGUGUAUGAAAAUAUUGUUAAAUAAAGUUAAUUAGUAAUACAUGUAUUAGUUAUCCUUGCAUAUAAUGACCCUUCAGGUCAUUUUUUUUCUUAAAGCCUCCUUUCUGUCGUUUAGAGCAUUUCUAUAUCAACAUCAAGUCAUUUAUGACUUACUGGUACUGACAGUUUGAUCGCCUGGUUGUUCGUUUGGAUUUAGUACAAUUUCCCGUGUUUUAGACACCUUGAAGCUUGAAAAGUGACUUUUAGUCCUUUAUCAGGUAAACUGCCUCAAAAUGGAAUUUUCAGAGUUGCAUCAGCUCCGCAAUGACCGAAUUAGGGUUGUAGCAACGUCGACACUAGUAUCGAAGCCUUCGAGGCGAGUUGGACCAUUAGGCGUUUUAGCUUUUGAAAUCAGGCCUAAGAUUGAGUUUGGUCAACAUUCUUGAAAAAAGUGCUCGGAUGAAAAUUAUGUAAGCGAGCGCGGUUAGCCUCGAAAUGUCGAGUUUGGUCUAGAACGACCUUUCAUUCGACUCCCGAAGUUCCCAGACUCAUUUCGAGCCCAUUGGUGGAUUUCGGUUAAAAAUGACCUUUGGAACUGGGAUCCACUUUUUAUCGAGAUGAACUCUGAUGAAAACUCUGACUGCGCUAUUGAGUACAUAACGUCAAAUUUAGUGGGGUAGCAUAGUUCGUAUGCAAACACGGAUUCUGAACGAAUUUCGAGCACCUCGUCGGAGACUUUUAAAAGAUAGUAAAAGUUGAAAUCUGAUGCACCCUUUUAGCGACCAGAGUUUGGGAUUUUAACGACUAGAUUUUGGGGGGGGGGGGGGAGGGGGGGUUAGCGACCAGUUUCGCUUUUAUAAAACCUUCAAUUCAACUUCAACCCUCUUUUUAAAAGUGCCGAUAUCUUGAGUUAUAGAGCUCAAAUUUGAGCGAUUAGGUUGUGAGAUUUUUCAAGAAAAAUGCAUUGGUGAGCUUGCAAGCUGCUUUGGACCUUCGUUUAAUGUAAAUUCUUGUUUUCACCUGUUGUCUUGGCUACUUUAUGAAUCCAAUUUGUGGAUAUUUUAGGACUUGAUUUCCCCCUAAUUCUAAGUUCGAAUUCGAUGAUUUCAGUGGCUAUCUUGAGUGUUUUUUUAGGAGAAUGCUUUGACGUGGUUGAAAUUUGUAUUUGAAGUUUCGUCAGAGGUAAAAAUUGUGUUUUGGCUGCUGUGAUAGCUCAUUUUUAAGCUCAAUUUGUAGAAAAUUUUAGAAGAUGAUUUCUUGGUCAUUUUAGGUCUAAAUAUGGUGAUUCAAGAGCCUAGAUUGCCAAAAAAAAAUUCAUGAGGAUCGUCGUGGUGUGAUUGAUUUCAACAUUUUGGACCCUCAUUUUUGACAUUUUCUUGUAAAUAGUUUUUGCUAUGUUGUUCAUUUUUAGUGUGAUUUUGGGUUUUUAGUUGCAUGUUCAUAUUGAUACUUUUCCGAGCCCCAAAUUGUGUUCCUAGUUGGAACACAUGUUUGAGGAUAUGUUUAGAACUUUAUUUGGUGUCAAUUUUGGAAUUUCCUGCGUGGGUCUCAUUUUUCCAGUUUUGACCCCGAAAUUGGUCUGACUCUAUUUCUUGCGAUUUUAGUGUCUAAACGACCGCAAUAACAUUGUGACCUCUAAUUUUGAUAGCGUAUGAGGCCGUUCGAAAAGGGAAAAUAUCAGAGAAUUGUUUUUGGAGCACGCAUGAUUGGCCUACAGGUAGGUUACGACUUUCCACUCUUAGAUUGAGCUCGAGCAUGUGAAUGCAUGUUGAUUAGUUGAGAUUUGAGUUGGGUAGUUAUUAAAUCAUGCAUACGUAAUUAGAAAUCAUAUUUUUGGCCUAUUUAGGGAAUUAUCGGGUAAUUAUGAGCAUGUUUUAUGCUAUUAGUUGACCCGCAUUAUAAUGUGUACUACUUUUUGAAGCAUGUUGGGACUUAGUUUAGGUUUGACUAGGGCUUGCCUUAGAAAUGCAUGAUUCGGAACGAUAAGACUUAGUCUUAUAGUUUGGGCCUUAUCUAGUCGAUACACUUGCCUUGGCGAUAGUUAAACUUACUUCUUCGAUGUUACGGCUUCACGAGUUACGUCGGUGACACUGAGUUUCGCUUCGCAACUUGAAGUUGAUUUUCGAUUCGAUUUCAAGGACUAACAUUGAUUGGAUGAGUGUUGAUGGCGUUCCACAAGCACUUGUGAUUAUGGAUCGAUAGAGACUCUUUUAGCCGCUACAUUGGCACCUUCGUCGGGCAUCCGGAUUCAAAGGUCCGACCUCGACCUCAUUGAUAUUCUUGAAGAGUAUCCGAAUUCAAGGUUUGACAUCGACCUUAUUGAUAUUCUCGAAGAUCAUCCGGUUCAAGGUUUGACCUCAAUCACCCAUAUACUUAUACAGAGUAUCUGGUUAGAGGUCCGGCCUCAGUUACAUGAUACUUGUAAUUGGAUACUUGGGUACCUUUGAUGAGCAUCCGGUUCGAGGUUCGGCCUCCAUAUUCUAUUAUUUGGGGUUGAGGUUUUGGUUCAAUGUUCUUCGGUCUUGAGUUCUCAGAUACAAUUCUCUUUAGUUAUAGUUAUUCUGUGCACUCGUCAGGCUUAUGGGGGUUCGUUCAGAUUUUUAUUUAAAUUUGCGCAGAAGUGUACCUUAUGGGCUUAUGGGGGCCCAGUUUGGUGUCGAUAGCUUAUAUAUUACUUUAGUUAGUUCAUCCUACACUCAUGUGCAUUCCAAUGUUAAUUAGACUUUUAUUCUUGACCUCUCGUUGUGUUAUUCCUUCUUUUCAUACUGCUUUUACUUUUCAAGAGUCGACCUAUGAUGCCUACUAGGUACAUGUUGUUUGGUACUCAUGCUACACUCUGCAUCUAUUUUCAUGAUGUAGGUUCGAGCACUAGUAGCCAGCGCUAAUCGAGUUUGGAGCAAUCUGAUCCAGAGACUGGGGUGAGCACACAUCGUUUUGUACUAUUUCAGUCUUCAUUUGUAUAUAUAUAGACUUGUCCUUUACCUUUCAAGACAAUUUAGUUUCUGUGGCCCACUUUUGAGACUUGUACUUGUUUUGUUGGUAGCUCUGUACUUGUGAAUUUUACGUUCUGGUAGGGAUCUUUAUUUGUAUAUAUGUUUUGGUUUGCUUCCGCCUGAUUAUAUUGUUAUCUUAAAUUUUGCAUACUCUUAUUUAGUUUUCACCCUCAAACCCGUUACUUGAUGUUCCGGGUUACGGAUUGGCUUACCUACUGGUGGGUUAUAGUAGGUGUCAUCAUGACUCAAGAAAUUGGAUCGUGACAUUUCAUCAAUUACACAUAAAUUAUAUUUAUGCAUUGUUUGAUUUGAUGCAUUAAAAAUAACAUGCAUUGCAUAAAAAAUUAUUUAUAAAGAUACCCUCCAUGAUUAUGGUGGGGGAAAAAAUAUAAAAAGAGGUUUGGAAGGAAAAUUGGGUCUUUAAUCAUACUAAUGCAUUCAUUUUUACCAUUUCAUUGAUAAUACCUAAAAAUUUAGAGUAUUAACAAUACACAACUUAAUUAACACACAAUAGAGUGUAUGACUAAUAUGAAUAUUAACUAUAUAUAAAUUAGAAAAGAAAUGCACACUCUACUAAACUACAUUGUCUAGUAUAGGCUAACGGCCUAUUAUUACGCGUUGUAUUUUGCAUAACAAUGGAUGUGAUGUUUCAACUACUUCUAGUAAGUGAUAGGAUACUAUUUUUUUUUUCUCUCAAAAGAAACUUGUAUUAUGAAAAUUGAAGAUCAUUUGAAUUUUUGAAGUGGUUUGAUACUAUUGAAAAGGCAAGCAAUCCGAUCCCCCCUACCUUGCUAUUUUAAUUUCUUGGCCUUAGCUGUUGUAAUUAUGGCCCCAAGAGAGUGUUUGGAUUCAUCUUAAGGUUUAUGAUGAUUUUACCACGUAAGACCUUAGAUUGUUAUAAACAUAUUUGUUCAUAUUUAUUUACCAUAAUUCAUUAAUACAAUCAAGAAAUUGGUAGGUUUAGACGAAUGAGAAAAAUGACUUCUCAUUGUGAAAUUUAGAUAUACAGAAGCGGUAAAAAAGACCAACCAAUUAUUUUAGAUAACAACAAAAACAUAGAAAACAAAAGCAAGCAAUAGAAGCAAAGGAGUUGGCUCAAUCAGUGCAGCAACGGUACAUGAAGAACCUCUCCAUUGGCCUUCCACAUUCAGCACAAACAAUAACAUCAGGAAUAUCGCCAUCAAGUCCUGGAAGAAUUAAGCGAUUGCAAUGCUCAGGAGUGUGCAAUUGCAAGAAAUAUUCAAUAAGUGCUGGCACAAAUCCUUUAGUUUUUGCGCUAUCUUCCCAAGUUGUGUAAUCUUCCAAUGUCUUAGUAAUUAUCUGACUUUUAGCUCGAGCCAUCUCGAAUGAUCCCCUGCUUAUGAGCGCCCACCCUUGAUCACUUCCAUCGAAGCUCAGCAUUGUCAACACUUCUUGCAUAAUUUUAUCCUCUUGGAUGGUCUUCCCUAGCUGCAUUUUUGAGUAGAACAUGCUCUCAAUUCUUGUCCAGAAGUACCAAACUGAUGUUAAGUCCGUCAAACAGUUACUCAGUUUUUCAUCCGUUAUCGUGCUGUUGAUCUUUCUAACUCUCUCCUUGUUGUUGCUCUUUCCUACAUAUAACAUUUGUAGUUCGAUCCCAGCUCUCUUUGCCACGCUUUGUGCUGAUUUUGUGAAACUACGGAUCCAAUCCAUGUCUUCUCCUCCAUAUAAACAGAUAAAUUUACCACUUGCCAUCUGAUUAAAAUUCUAAAGAAUUAGUAUUUGACAAGAAAGAAAAUUAAUUAUACUUGGGGAUGUUAGUAUAAGAUAAGAUUUUACCCAAUCCAUUAAGUUGGGAUCAAUGCCAUCGACCACGAGCUCAAGUCUCCAAGAUUCCAUACUCCAGAGAGAUUCCUCUUUUGAAAUAGUGAAGGGAUAGGCCAAAUUUCCCCAAAUCCAAGUCAUGUGAAUAGCAUUGGGACAGGCAACUUUGCCCUGUUGUGGAUCCAAGGUUACAAGCAUCAUUUUCUUUGAGAAAUGCCACUUUUCUUUGACGAACUUGGCAAUUGCUGGCUCUAACAAGGAUGGAUGGUGCAAUGUGUACCAUGGCAUAAGU